CACCCCGGGCCCUGCGCCCCCGCAGCCGGGGGGGAGCGGCCCGGGGAGGGGGCGGAAAGAAGUCACUCCCCUCCUGAGAGGUGUUGUCGUCCUCCUCCGGCUUUCGCGAGCUCCCCAGUGCCCAUACACUGGUCCCUGCCCUUGCUUCACCAGACAUGUCCUUGACUGGGUUUGGAAUGGGGGGGAAGUACAAGCUUUUUAAUUAAAAGAGUCAGCUCAAGAGUAUUUUAGCAGCACUCCAGAUCCCUGUUCGUGUGUCCCCCCAGCAGUAAACACAUGGUGAAAAAUGAGCUGGGCAGUAUAGCCUGUGAACAGGAUUUAGCACUUGGAGGGAACCCAAGACAGAGCAUGAGAAAGAGCGGUCACACAAGGCAGCCCUUACUACCCAUUCUCCCCUCAGCCCAGUUUAAGCUGCAGAAGAUGCAUUUUCCACUUAACUGGCGUCGGGCCGGAGAAGGAUCCCAG